AGCGUGACAGCCUUCAGGGGUCCUGCUCACAGUCAUCACACAAAAGACAAAAAUUAUUCUGAUGGCCACCACAAGGAUCCCCCAAGCAGGCCCUGCGCUUUCUGCAAAGCCGCCUCCCUCGCCUGCCUUCUCUGCUCUGCGACCCCCAGUGUCGCCAGGUGCCCCCAUGGUGUUCACGGCACAGCCGUGGGCUCCUAGGGCAGAAAACUAGGAAUCCAUGGAGAUGACCCACACUCUCUGCAGUGGUGGACGGUGGUCAUCCGAAAGUAACAGAAAUAACAGCAAGCCAAGCGAGGAGGCACCUGAGGGGGGACGGACGCUCUGGACACGUAUCUACGCCUGGAGGUGUCCAGCCCAAGCCCAGAUCGAGCUGUGCGGCCAGCCAGAGGGCGCAGAGGAUGGAGACCACCACACAUGUGCAGGAGGGGCAUGGCGUUUUUAGGUAAUGGGGCGACUUUGAAAGGUGUGGUACGGAGCUGGCUAACGCCUGAGCACCGGUCACCCUCUGCAGAGUGCUCACGCUGAUCACAGUCCAUCCCCCCCUCUGCGGAGCACAUGGAGCCCCGCCAAGGUCGAGGGACGCACCCAGGUCACAGGCUGGCGGGCAGUGCUCCAGACGGGACUGGACACCGCACCACAGUCUGAAAGCACAAGCUCCACCCAGGAGGGACAAAGCGUGCGAAUAAAAUAGCACCUGCUGCAGUCCUCUCCGGCACUAGAGUGAUCCAGGUGGGCCGCAGGGAGCUGGGAUAGCAGGUUGUCAACUUGAGGCUAAAACAUUUUCAUCUGCGAUGUAUCUUCAUAGACAUGUCCAUCCUCCCAUUCUUCCAUACCUAUCCAUUCUUCUUGGCCUAAUUUAUAAAUUGACCUUAUUAUAGGUACGCAUAGGAAAAACAUGGUGGAUAUGAGGUCUGGCGCUCUGCUUGGUUUCCAUCCUCCACGGGGGGCCUUGGAACACAUCCGUCACAUGUAAGGGGGGACUGUAGUACCUGCCAUGUGUCAAGCACGCCAGGGGAUAAUUACAGCUAAUAUUUACAAUA